rnacentral:tmRNA from 1 species
GGGGAUGAUGAAUCAGGAGUAGCGAGCCGAUGUCUGUCGAUCAUCGUAAAAAGCGGCAAACUAAAAUUAAACGCUAACGAUAAUAAUUACGCGUUAGCUGCGUAAAGCAGCUAAGUUCCCCUCGGGAAACCUGCAGCCCGGGACGGAACGCCAACUUUGCAGGGAACCGCUUUACCGGAUGCCUUGACGGUUUAGCGAUCAACUAAGGCUGGUCUCUAAGGGGUUUUGUUACUGGUACCUCUAAGAGACGAGAUCUAAACCAAUGACUGCGCUCGGAGAAACUUCUGUGGAUUCAUUUUCGGACGCGGGU